rnacentral:misc_RNA from 1 species
UGGCAGCGGUUUGUGUAGGUUGAGUCGAAUAUUACGGAGAAGAACUCACUCAAAUAUUACGACAUCCCGAAAAUGUCGUCUGAUAGCGAGUUGGACGAGUUUUAUGAUGCUGAAGAUCAUUCUCCGGAACUACAUAAUGUAUCACCUGAGUCUGUUGAUUUGCCAAAACAAGAUGGAACAUCAACGGAGGCUGAGAGUUCAUCGCAGUUAUUACAGACGGAAAGUUCCACCUUUGAGAGGAAAAGCUGUGAGAAUAAUGAAUUGGGGAAAAUGUUGGAAGAACUCCAUAGAAAAAAGCAACUUGAAGAUUAUGAAAGAGUCGAAGCUGAAAGGAAGGUGCUAGAGAAUAGGAAAAGACGCCGCAAAGUUGAAUUGUUGCGGCAAGCUUUGUCCGAAGAUAAAUCCCCGUUGAAGAAUGACAGUGAAGAUUUAUUUAAAGAUUUUGAUGUUCCUGGCAAUACCGAUAAAGCCGAAGCAUCUUUGCAUCCUGCUGAUUUUGAUAUCAAUAACAUACAGUUGUCUUCUAAGUCAAGUAGCAAUGACUUGAUGUCCAAAAACGUUUGUCCUCCUACUCUUAGUCUUUCAUCUCCCCUCUUAGAGCAAUCUUCCUCUUCUCUUGCUCAAACUUCUGCCGGCCAUCCUUUUACAGAUAUCAGUAUGACUGUCACAGUUCCUGAAAAGUUUCCAACCACCGGUGUCCUACAAGAUCCUUACUAUGCUGCUUCUACCGAUAUGUGUCUCAAAAACAAUAUGGUCAGUUUAGUAGCCAAAGACAAUGAACCAGAUAUCAUCCAAAGUGCUAAACCCCGUAAUUUAACCCCUCCUAGUACAAUGGACACAAAGAGUCAGAAUGUGUUACCUUCCACUCUAAAUCCACCUGUUGCUCCUCCCAGGCGUAAACGAAGACCAAAGAAUCUAUCGACAAGUCAUGAAAACUUGUCCAUGUAUUGUGUUUCUCCUGCGGAGUUGUUAACACCAGUAUCUACUGUGGAAUGUUUAACCAAAGAACUUCAACAUUCUCUUGAUUUACAAAGUGCCUUAGAAGGAAGUAGAAUAAUAAAUGCCGAGGAAGCUGAAAGUGGUGCUGUGAACUCAGAUCAAGAUUCGGUAUCUCCUAUCAUGGAACAAAAUACAUUAUCUUCUUUAGAAAGUGAUGGUGUUUUACUAAGGCAAAAGUCUUUGCAAGAUUUUCCAAAAAGUAACAGCCUGCCCAGUGAUUACAGUCAAAUGUUAAGACCACGUUCAAAUUCCGGCCGUUCCCUCACAGAUCAGGAAAUUUUGGAAUCUGUCUACAUAACUAAUCUUGAUACGGGACAAAAAGUCCCUCUAAGUGUGGCUGAAGAUGAAUUACCUCGGUGUAUAAACCCACUUGAUUUACACAUAAUUCAAAGAACACAUGAAUAUUUAGGUGAAGGUGAGGAUCGUAAAACUGAAGGUUCAGAAGAAGACGAAUGCAAAUCAGAAAAUAGCCGAAGCUUAUCUGACCAACAUGGGACCAAGAGCAAGGCCACAAAAAUUAAGAAGUUUAUUGGAAAGACUGUGGGAAAAACCAUGAAUCGUGUGAAGUCAGUUGCAGAUCAAAGUAAAAAAGUUCUUCAAGGGGACGAAGCUGGCAUUGAAGAGGAAUAUUCCAUUGAUGGCAAGAUAUAUAAGAUUAAAGUAUCGAGCAGUAACAAGGGACCGUGGGAUUUUUCUCAGCCAAGACUUCUUCAAGACUUGAGUGGAGAACACUCGAAUGCAAUCUGGACCAUGAAAUUCUCGCCUUGUGGACGAUUACUGGCUACUGGCGGGCAAGACAGUGUUCUGAGAAUUUGGAUUCUAAAAAAUGCCUAUCUUUAUUUCGAAGAUUUGGGUCAAAAGUAUGCAGAUAAGAUGUCCCCCUCUACAUCCCGGGAAAGUUUGGAUUCCACCACAUCCUCUGAGACUUCCAAUUUGGAUAAAAAAGGAAUUGGACAAACUGAAGAUGAAUACAAAAAUGCUCCAUUUGUGAAAAAGCCUUUCUGCACCUAUAGAGGACAUUCUGCUGACCUAUUAGAUAUCUCAUGGUCCAAGAACUAUUUCAUUUUGUCAUCAUCAAUGGAUAAAACCGUACGGCUAUGGCAUAUAUCACGACGAGAAUGUUUAUGUACUUUCCAGCACAUUGACUUCGUUACAGCUAUUGUCUUUCACCCUAAGGAUGACCGGUACUUUCUAAGUGGUUCCCUUGAUGGCAAACUACGGUUAUGGAAUAUACCUGAUAAAAAAGUGACUCUCUGGAAUGAAGUGAGCAGUCCGUCUAAUUUAAUCACAACUGCUAACUUCUGUAAUAAUGGGAAAUAUGCAGUAGUUGGCACUUAUGAUGGUAAAUGCAUAUUUUUUACAACAGAGCAACUAAAAUAUUCUACUCAGAUCCAUGUUCGAUCAACGAGAGGUAAAAAUGCAAAAGGCAGAAAAGUGACCGGUAUAGAACCACUGCAUGGCGAAGAUAAGUUAAUAUACUUUCUCUAAAACUACCAACACCAUUUAGAUGACUUUGGUAAUAAAAGCAAUCUACUAUUUAUGAAAAGCUCAUGGACUUCAUUUCACAAGUGACUAACCACUGCUGUGUGUGUAUCACAUUUAAAGUCUUAAUUCUCUGUCGAUUUACCAGAGAUCACGCUGCAUCUUUCAGAUUCUUGUCACCACAAACGAUUCUAGAAUUCGGCUUUAUGACUUGAGGGAUCUAACACUUACCUGUAAAUAUAAAGGUGGAACGAACAACAGCAGCCAAAUCAAAGCGAGCUUUAG